rnacentral:misc_RNA from 1 species
AAGUCGUAACAAGGUUUCCGUAGGUGAACCUGCGGAAGGAUCAUUAUUGAAUCUUCUUAACCUUCUGUUUCUCUUAGAAACGUGAAGUACCCCUUUGUGCACUUGACAUUUGACGCUGCUUUCCCCGGUUUCGGUCGGGGGAAGAGCAAAACAAAACAACUUACCAUUUUCCACAUCAUUCAAUGAAUGACUUAACCAAAAAAUAAAACAAAACUUUCAACAACGGAUCUCUUGGCUU